AAACUGGGGUUAAUUCUCGAUGGGUGAGGAGGCCUGGAAUGGUUCUUCACUGAAAGGGCGUUAGAGGCAUGCUCUCUAACGUUGCCCAAGGAUGGGGCCGCGGCCGAUCAGGUUGUUGGUGAGGUAACGACUUACCAAGCCUAUAACCGGUACGGGCCGUGAGAGCGGAAGCCCGGAGAUGGGCACUGAGAUAAGGGCCCAGGCCCUACGGGGCGCAGCAGUUGCGAAAACUCCGCAAUGCACGAAAGUGUGACGGGGCUACCCCGAGUGCCGUCCGCUGAAGAUGGCUUUUCUCCGCUGUAAGGAGGCGGAGGAAUAAGGAGAGGGCAAGACUGGUGUCAGCCGCCGCGGUAAUACCAGCUCUCCGAGUGGUAGGGGUGAUUAUUGGGCUUAAAGCGUCGUAGCCGGCUGGCAAGUCUCCGUUAAAUCCAGCAACUAAUUGUUGGGCUGCGGGGGAUACUGUUAGGCUUGGGGGCGGGAGAGGCCGACGGUAUUCUCGGGGUAGGGGUGAAAUCUUAUAAUCCCGAGAGGACCACCAGUGGCGAAGGCUGUCGGCUAGCACGCGCUGACGGUGAGGGACGAAAGCUGGGGGAGCGAACCGGAUUAGAUACCCGGGUAGUCCCUGCUGUAAACGAUGCGAGCUAGGUGUUGGGGCGGCUACGAGCCGCUUCAGUGCCGCAGCGAAGGCGUUAAGCUCGCCGCCUGGGGAGUACGGCCGCAAGGCUGAAACUUAAAGGAAUUGGCGGGGGAGCACCACAAGGCGUGAAGCUUGCGGUUCAAUUGGAGUCAACGCCGGGAACCUUACCGGGGGCGACAGCAGGAUGAAGGCCAGGUUGAUGGUCUUGCUGGACGAGCUGAGAGGAGGCGCAUGGCCGUCGUCAGUUCGUGCCGUGAGGUGUCCUCUUAAGUGAGGUAACGAUCGAGACCCGCGCCCCUUGUUGCUAACAGACUCCAUCGGGGUCUGUGCACACUAGGGGGACCGCCGUCGAUAAGACGGAGGAAGGAGCGGGCCACGGCAGGUCAGUAUGCCCCGAAUCCCCCGGGCCACACGCGAGCUGCAAUGGCAGGGACAAUGGGUGUCGACUCCGAAAGGAGGAGGUAAUCUCUAAACCCUGCCUCAGUUGGGAUCGAGGGCUGAAACCCGUCCUCGUGAAUAUGGAAUGCCUAGUAAUCGCGCGUCAUCAUCGCGCGGUGAAUACGUCCCCGCUCCUUGCACACACCGCCCGUCGUUCCAUCCGAGUGGGGUUUGGGUGAGGCGUAGUCCUUGGUGGCUGCGUCGAACUCAGGUUCCGCAAGGAGGG
rnacentral:rRNA from 1 species